GUGGCUGGGGCUCACUGGUAGAGCACUUGCCUCACAUGUGUGAGGCCCUGGGUUUGAUCCUCAGCACCACA
rnacentral:tRNA from 1 species